CGGAGGAUCAGCUGUUCGGUUGCUGUCUGCAGGUUCUGAGGACCUUGCAGUGUUUUUCAUGUCAAGAUUCGUGACAAGUGAAACUUUGAAUUUGAUGACUUGCCAUUUAUGUUUGGAAUAGACGUAAAGAUGGCGAAAAAGGGUAGUUCCAAUAAGGCAUUCAAAAACUUGUUUUCUAAAAGCGAAGCCAAAUUGACCGUGGAGAAGGAGAAAGAUGACAGUGGAGGAAAAAAGUUCAAACUCUUCAAAUUCAAGAAAAAUACGAAACACGGCAAAGAUGAAGAGAAGCAAGUGGACAUCAGUGCUGCUGAGACCAAUGGAUCUGGUGGUGAUGCCCAGGGGAGGGAUGCUGAAGACUGGCCUGAUGUUAAUCACACCAAGAAGACCAGAUCUCUGACUGCUCCCAGGUCAAAGGUUUUUCUCAUUGAGAACAUCUCUUUACCAAGAGAGACCUGGUCCAAUAGCUGCAGGGGGAACAACGUUUCAGACCAAACAACUUACAUACACCAACACAACAUUAAACAAAACUAUAAACACACAUACAGUACAACAAAAACAUCUGUUUGGUCUUAGUGGUAUGUAUUUGGAAACAGUUUCAAAUAGUAGGCUAUAUAAAAUAUUUUACAAAAAUAACUUUCCAGUGCUGAGCGUUUAACUGACAUUUAGUUUUUUUAAUCAGUUAUUAAACAACUAAUUGACAGACGUCAGAUCAAUUGCUUGAAUUCCAUUUCGUUCAGGUGUUUUUUGUGAGCCAGUGCCCUGUGCCCUUUUUAUCUAGAGAAAUCAAAUAAUUCACAAGAGAAAUCAAGUCAAGAACUAUGUGGUAUGCUGGGCUGAUGGGAGUUGUAGUUUUCAUUAAGCAAAUAUUCAACCUAGUUCAGCGCAGAAACUUGGUAAUUAACUACAAUGUCCAUAAUCCUUUGUGGAUUUUUCCGGCUCAGACAGAGACGGAUCAGAGGAUAAGGCGAAGCGAGAGGUUUUGCUCUCACCAAGAUCAUUCCAAAAACAAGUAUGCCUUAUCUACUUUGAGAUUUAGUAAAAUGAUUUUGUCAGACAGCUCUGCAGCAUAUUUAGGCAGGCUAGCUAAAUGGGAUGACUCAAAACAGUACAGUAUGGGCGUCUGGCAGUCUAUGGGGGUGCCGCAGGGUUCAAUUCUUGGGCCGACUCUCUUCUCUGUAUACAUCAAUGAUGUCGCUCUUGCUGCUGGUGAGUGUCUGAUCCACCUCUACGCAGACGACACCAUUCUGUAUACUUCUGGCUCUUCUUUGGACACUGUGUUAACUGACCUCCAGAGGAGAUUCAAUGCCAUACAACUCUCCUUCCGUGGCCUCCAACAGCUCUUAAAUACAAGUAAAACUAAAUGCAUGCUCUUCAACCGAUCGCUGCCCGCCCAUCCAACAUCACUACUCUGGACGGUUCUGACUUCGAAUAUGUGGACAACUACAAAUACCUAGGUGUCUGGUUAGACUGUAAACUCUCCUUCCAGACUCACAUUAAACAUCUCCAAUCCAAAGUUAAAUCUAGAAUUGGCUUCCUGAUUCACAACAAAGUAUCCUUCACUCAUGCUGCCAAACAUACCCUCGUAAAACUGACCAUCCUACCGAUCCUCGACAUCGGCGACGUAAUUUACAAAAUAGCCUCCAAUACCCUACUCAAUAAAUUGGAUGCAGUCUCCCAGUGCCAUCCAUUUUGUCACCAAAGACCCAUAUACUACCCACCACUGCGACCUGUACACUCUCGUUGGCUGGCCCACACUUCAUACUCGUCGCCAAACCCACUGGUCAUCUACAAAACCCUGCUAGGUAAAGUCCCCCCUUAUCUCAGCUCGUUGUUCACCAUAUCAGCACCCACCUGUAGCACGCACUCCAGCAGGUAUAUCUCUCUGGUCACCCCAAAAACCAAUUCUUCCUUUGGCUGCCUCUCCUUCCAGUUCUCUGCUGCCAAUGACUGGAAUGAACUACAAAAAUCUCUAAAACUGGAAACACUUAUCUCCCUCACUAGUUUUAAGCACCAGCUGUCAGAGCAGCUCACAGAUUACUGCACCUGUACAUAGCCCAUCUAUAAUUUAGGCCAAACAACUACCUCUUCUACUGUAUUUAUUUAUUUAUUUAUUUAUUUUGCUCAUUUGCACCCCACUAUUUUUAUUUCUACUUUGCACAUUC